rnacentral:rRNA from 1 species
CGUAGUAGCAGGCUUAACACAUGCAAGUCGAGCGCCCCGCAAGGGGCGUAGUGAUACUAAGUAACACGUGGGAACGUACCCUUUACUACGGAACCAGUAGUAAACUUGUGCUAAUACCGUAUGUGCCACCUUCGGGGGAAAGAUUUAUCGGUAAGGGAUCGGCCCGCGUUCAAUUAGCUAGUUGGUGGGGUAAAGGCCUACCAAGGCGACGAUCCAUACGAUGUCUGAGAGGAUGAUCAGCCACAUUGGGACUGAGACACGGCCCAAACUCCUACGGGAGGCAGCAGUGGGGCCGUAGUAAAUGGACAAUGGGCGCCAGUAGUCGCGUGAGUGAUCCAUGAUGAAGGCCCUAGGGUUGUAAAGCUCUUUCACCGGAGAAGAUAAUGACGGUAUCCGGAGAAGAAGCCCCGGCUAACUUCGUGCCAGCAGCCGCGGUAAUCCAGUAGUGGCUAGCGUUGUUCGGAAUUACUGGGCGUAAAGCGCACGUAGGCGGACAUUCAUGAAAAGGGUGAAAUCCCAGAGCUCAACUCUGCCAGUCCAGAGUAUACUGGGUGUCUUGAGUAUGGAAGAGCCAUGAAAUUCCGAGUGUAGAGGUGAAAUUCGUAGAUAUUCCCAGUAGAACACCAGUGGCGAAGGCCAGUCACUGGUCCAUUACUGACGCUGAGGUGCGAACCAGUAGGGAGCAAACAGGAUUAGAUACCCUGGUAGCCAGAUCCGUAAACGAUGAACGAUAGCCGUCGGGCAGUAUACCAGUCGGUGGCCUGAUUAACGCAUUAAACAUUCCGCCUGGGGAGUACGGUCGCAAGAUUAAAACUCAAAGGAAUUGACGGGGGCCCGCACAAGCGGUGGAGCCGUAAGUUUAAUUCGAAGCAACGCGCAGAACCUUACCAGCCCUUGACAUGCCCGGCUACUUGCAGAGAUGCAAGGUUCCCAUUCGGGGACCGGGACGUAGUACUGCAUGGCUGUCGUCAGCUCGUGUCGUGAGAUGUUGGGUUAAGUCCCGCAACGAGCCAGUAGCUCGCCCUUAGUUGCCAGCAUUCAGUUGGGCACUCUAAAAUGUGCCGGUGAUCGUGCCGAGAGGAAGGUGGCGUGACGUCAAGUCCCUUCAUGGCCCUUACGGGCUGGCCGUGAAACACGUGCUACAA